rnacentral:lncRNA from 15 species
AGGCUGGGAUUUUGGGGUUGGGACUUAAUUAGGGUUGUAGGACCUUAGGUUUAGGGCCACAAAAUGGGCUAGGGGAUAGGCCAAUUAAUGGGAAUCAGAGUGACAAAUUGGGACUGAUGUUAAAUUGGGGUAGAGCAGGGACUUAGGGUUAGCUUAGCAUAGCUUAACAUGGGUGGGAGGACCAGACAUAUGUCCAAGGAGGCGCUGGCUAAGUUAGGUGAGAACUAGGAGCUGGGACCCACCGAAGUGGAUCCCAACAGUGCACGGGCCAUCAUCAGGGACGUCCAGUCCUCCGUCGCCAUCUUCCAGGUAUGGGUUUGUAUAAUCUACUAUUUAGAUCAUGUUAGACAGGUUCGCCUUUGUUAUAUGAAGUAUAAUGGUUUGGCUCUUGUAAUUCCCUCCCUUGUCGGUUAACCAGUGUUUUUCUUCUGCAUGUCUAUAGGUGGCGCUGGCCGCGACGUUUCGUCCGCUUCUUGGGACUUCCUCAGGCUUAAGGCCACAGCAUGCAGGAUUUCAUGGACUUCGUGGAGCUCCCUCAACACGGAAUAAGGUAAGGCUAGGGUUUUGAGGCUGGGAUUUUGGGGUUGGGACUUAAUUAGGGUUGUAGGACCUUAGGUUUAGGGCCACAAAAUGGGCUAGGGGAUAGGCCAAUUAAUGGGAAUCAGAGUGACAAAUUGGGACUGAUGUUAAAUUGGGGUAGAGCAGGGACUUAGGGUUAGCUUAGCAUAGCUUAACAUGGGUGGGAGGACCAGACAUAUGUCCAAGGAGGCGCUGGCUAAGUUAGGUGAGAACUAGGAGCUGGGACCCACCGAAGUGGAUCCCAACAGUGCACGGGCCAUCA